UCAGUGAUUGAGCAUUGACCUAUGAACCAGGAGAUCAUGGUUUGAUUCCAGGAUGAUGGAAGAUGAUGAUGAUGAUGCAAAGAACAAAUAGAAGCUGAAUUGGACAAAAAUCAGCAUUUCUUCUUUGGAAAAAGAUGAUCUAGAUACUGAUUCAAACUCAGAAACCCAGAGUGAUGAGAGUGAUGCUGUGUCCCCAAUCCCCCUACUCCCUCCUCCGUUUCCUGCUCCCUUGGGCUUCACCACAAUAUUGUCAGUGUCCACAGGGACUGAGUUGAAUUACCAGAGUCAAAUCUUCACUGUAUUGACAUCAUAAAGAAUAAGAGUAAAACUGCUGAAGAGCUCAUUCUUCAGGACUUAGAAGAUACUGAUGUUUUAAGUAAGU